rnacentral:rRNA from 1 species
UGGGGAAUAUUGGACAAUGGGCGAAAGCCUGAUCCAGCCAUGCCGCGUGUGUGAAGAAGGUCUUCGGAUUGUAAAGCACUUUAAGUUGGGAGGAAGGGCAGUAAGCGAAUACCUUGCUGUUUUGACGUUACCGACAGAAUAAGCACCGGCUAACUCUGUGCCAGCAGCCGCGGUAAUACAGAGGGUGCAAGCGUUAAUCGGAAUUACUGGGCGUAAAGCGCGCGUAGGUGGUUCGUUAAGUUGAAUGUGAAAGCCCCGGGCUCAACCUGGGAACUGCAUCCAAAACUGGCGGGCUGGAGUAGGGCAGAGGGUGGUGGAAUUUCCUGUGUAGCGAUGAAAUGCGUAGAUAUAGGAAGGAACACCAGUGGCGAAGGCGACCACCUGGGCUCAUACUGACACUGGGGUGCGAGAGCGUGGGGAGCAAACAGG